rnacentral:rRNA from 1 species
AGUGAACGCUGGCGGCGUGCUUAACACAUGCAAGUCGAACGAGCAAGUGCUGUAGUAAUACAGAUUACUGCUAGUGGCAGACGGGUGAGUAAUACAUGGGAAUCUGCCUUGAAGUCUGGGAUAACUGUUGGAAACGACAGCUAAUACCGGAUAUUGCCGAGAGGUGAAAGAUUUAUCGCUUCAAGAUGAGCCCAUGCAAGAUUAGCUAGUUGGUGAGGUAAUGGCUCACCAAGGCGAAGAUCUUUAGCUGGUCUAAGAGGAUGAUCAGCCACACUGGAACUGAGACACGGUCCAGACUCCUACGGGAGGCAGCAGUGGGGAAUAUUGGACAAUGGGCGAAAGCCUGAUCCAGCGACGCCGCGUGAGUGAAGAAGGCCUCGGUU